rnacentral:rRNA from 1 species
CACCGCGGUUAAACGAGAGGCCCCAGUUGAUGAUUGACGGCGUAAAGGGUGGUUAGGGGGUGUAAUGUAAUAAAGCCGAAUGGCCCUUUGGCUGUCAUACGCUUCUAGGUGUCCGAAGCCCAACAUACGAAAGUAGCUUUAAAAGAGUCCACCUGACGCCACGAAAGCUGAGAAA